rnacentral:rRNA from 1 species
AGAAUCAACGCUGGCGGCGUGCCUCAGACAUGCAAGUCGAACGAUUAAAGCUCUCUUCGGAGAGUGUAUAGAGUGGCGCACGGGUGAGUAACACGUAAGUAAUCUACCCUCGAGUGGGGAAUAACGUCCGGAAACGGACGCUAAUACCGCAUAAUGCAGCGGCACGCAAGGUGACAGUUGUUAAAGAUUUUAUCGCUUGAGGAGGAGCUUGCGGCAGAUUAGCUAGUUGGUAAGGUAUGGCUUACAAGGCUAACGAUCUAGUAACCGUCUAAGAGGACGGUACGGUCACACUAGACGACUACGAAGUAACGGGUCGAGACCGUACCUACCGGGAGGG